rnacentral:rRNA from 1 species
UACGAAGGGUGCUAGCGUUGUUCGGAAUUACUGGGCGUAAAGCGCGCGUAGGCGGCGUAACAAGUCAGAGGUGAAAGCCCAGGGCUCAACCUUGGAAUUGCCUUUGAUACUGGCUGUCUUGAGUUCGGGAGAGGUGAGUGGAAUGCCGAGUGUAGAGGUGAAAUUCGUAGAUAUUCGGCGGAACACCAGUGGCGAAGGCGACUCACUGGCCCGAUACUGACGCUGAGGCGCGAAAGCGUGGGGAGCAAACAGG